rnacentral:misc_RNA from 1 species
CUGAGUGAGAGAGCAAUCCCGACCUCUAACCCUUUGUGAACGCAUCAUGUUGCUUCGGGGGCGACCCUGCCGUUCGCAGCAUUCCCCCCGGAGGUAAUCAAAACACUGCAUUCUUACGUCGGAGUAAAAAGUUAAUUUAAUA